CUCUUAACCGCUGAGCCAUCUCUCUAGCCCACAACCUCGUUCUUAAUGUCAUCUGAAGCAAAGCCCCAGAUGACAGAUGCUCCCCCAACCCCCACACCCGUAAGAUGCACUUUUGGAGUAAGUUUCAGUCAAAUUCUUACAGCUGCGCCCCUCACUACUCCCCAGGGCACUCUGAGCUACUGCCAUGAUUCUCUAACCUCAGGACUGGAACAUUCCUUAUUCUCCCUUUCAACACCACAGUCAGAGAGCCAAUUAGGUCACAGCCAUAACAUACCUUAAAACCCUCAGCGUGAGAGUCACAGUCCUUGUCUGUGGCAAGUGACACGCCCUGCAGAUGGUAUUUUAUCCGCCAUCUCCUGACUUGGUCACUUGGCCCCCACCAUUCUAGGCUACUAAACACAGCUCAGGCACAGGCCUCCUCAUGCAGGCCUUACAUGUGCUCACUGCUCACUGCCUGACCUCCCUCAGGUCAGAACUCUAAAAGUCCCUUUACAGUAAUACCUAUCCUGACAACUCCUUCCAAAAUCAGAUCUCCUCACCUCUCCUGUGCUACUUCACACAGCACUGUUACCUCCGGGUGUGCUUUUAUGCUGGGGCUUGGGGGGGUCACAUGUGCUUCUUCUGAUCAUCCUGCAUCCUCUGAGCCUAGCGGACUGUACGGAGAGUGACAGCAAGUGUCUGCUGGAUGAAGUAAAGGAAAGCACGCAGGGCUCCUCUAGAACACUGAGCUCUGCCGUUUUGUUUUUAACCAUGAUGGACGGACAUUUUCAUGCACACAGUGAGAGUGGUCUGCGCUUGUUUUGUUGCUUGUACUUUGUCAGCACAGAUCUACCACAUGAUGAAAAAGAACUUUAAGAACAAAAAUUCCUCAAACACACAGAUUAAUGCGUAGUAUCAGGGUUCAUGGAAACUUCUGCUUCCUAAGCUCAGGUGGGCCAUUAUGGCAUCUGGAACAGACGGUUUAAGUGCCCAGUCAUGGGGCCCAGUCAUGUCCAUGUGGCAGAAAAAGACCUCAGUGGCAGCGCAUCUAAACCAGCACUGUUCUGCGUGGUGUCUGAAGUGAGCUGCCUGCAGGAUUCAGAGCUCACAGGCCAGUGUUUUUAACACCUUUAAAGACAGGGAUUCUUAAACACUGCUGCCCGUUGACAAAGGGUGACUAGUUCUGAAGACUUCUGCAAGCUGGCUUUCUAGUGUUUUUAAGUUGAAAAGCUCAAACUGUCAGUUUCAUAGUCUGUUUUGAAUUUUGUAACUUACUCUGGUUUUCAUGUAGAAAGAACUCUAAUGCAUUUAGGUCAAAGUGUUGAAGGUUCUCAAUUUGGCCCACAAAGUAACCUUUAAAAGUAACAUCUGCAAGGAUUCUACCAGACUUCAGUGAUGAACUACAACCAAUCCUUGAACCCUCCAAAAAGAGGGAAACAGAGUAAUCCACUGCCAAGAUUGUCCUUGAAGCAGCUGCACUCUAAUACACAAACUGGGGGGAGACACAACAAAGAAACCUCAGACUGGUCUUCCUGUUGAACAUAGGUGCAGAAAUCUCCAAUAAAAUAAUAGCUGCAUAUCAAAAAGGACAUCAAACAUAAGCAAAUUGGUUUUACCUUGGAAAUGCAGGGUUUGUUAAAAAUAGCAAGUCAAUAAAUAUAAUAAAUCAUAUAAAUGAACUAGAAGACAAAAGUCACACAAUCAUCUCAAAAAAAAAGUUCAUUAUGCUUUGCAAUGAGGGAAAUGAAAAUCAAAACAGCUUUGAGAGUUCAUCUUCCACCAGUCAAUACAGAGCUCAAUAAAACAAUGGCCAACAAGUGCUCGUAAGCCCCACGUGGAGAGAGAGGAGUCUCACUCACUUCUGGUAGAAACGCACUGGUAUAGCCACUCUGAAAACCUGCGUGAAGAACCCCAAAAAGCUAAAAUACAUCUGCCAUAUGAUCCGGUUAUGAACCGCACUGCGCAGACAUUUCUCACGAUAGACAGGAAAUGGAAACACCUAAAUGUCCUUCAGCAGGUAAUGGAGAAUGGAGCCAGGGUGCAUUAGAGGACACUAUGGGAUAUGAACUAUCCAGUUGUAAGGAAAGUGAAACUGUGAGACUCACAAGUGGGAGGGACUAGAAAGGAUUAUAUCGAGUGACGUAACAUAGACCUACAAGACCUGCAUUCUCUCCCAUCUAUGGCUGCAGGUAUCAGGACAUGUAGGGAGAACAUAGAGGAUGUUUAGAUCAUGGGAAUAAGGUGCAAAUACCGUGAUACAAUAAUGGACACAAUCAAAACAUGAAGCCCUGCAACUUAAACAUUGUGUAUAAUAAAAAAUACAUUCUACGAAAGGUAGGCUGGCGAUGGGACUCGGGCACAGAGCCCUUGUUUAGCGUGUGUGAAAAGCACUGUUCACUCCCCAGAACUGGAAGAGGGUAGGGAAACAAAGGUUGCUACAGAUGACACAGACUGUUCGACUCUGUCCUACACACGACACUAGGGAACUCUAGCUUACGUACAUUGUAGUCUUUGAGGAAUAAUGGCAUGUCAAUGGAGGCUCCGUGAUGGCUGCAAAAGCACAUGACUCUGGCAGGGAUGAUGGAGAGGUGAUUCAGGCAAAAGGCAGAAUGUGGGGAACCUGAAAUACUGCUCUCAGCUUUGCUAUGAACUUAAAAAUUGCAAAAGGGAAAUAAAUGAACUCUUAAAAAUGUUGUGGGAACUAUGUAAUAUGUCCUAUUAAUUUUUAAGACUUAUUUUUUAUGUGUGUAGGUAUUUGGCUUGCAGGCAUGAGUAUCUGUGGGCCUUGUGUGUGCAGUACCUACAGAGUCCCAAGUGAGGCUUAGUCACCUGGAAUGGGAAUUACAGAUGCUUGUGAGCCGGGACUCAAAACAAGAUCCCCUGGAAAUGGGGGCAGGGCUGAGCUGUCAGUUUCUUUCAGCUACAAUUGAAAGUGGUUCAGAAGGUCUCUGAAUUAUAAUUACCAAGUAACGCUGAAGCCAUAAAGCCUGAAUUAUGUCAGAGACAAAACUGCAAAGCCUUCUGGGAACACUAGCUACCAUUCACUGAAUGAAUACCUGGUGUCAGGUGCUGUAGUUGGCGUUUGCUCACAGUGUCUCAUGUCUAUGAAUGGAAUGCUCCUGGUCCCACUGAGUGCUAGGAAGCUGAAUUUAGACAAGUCAGCAACUUUUGACAGGACAGAAUGUAAGCAGCAAAUUACACUAGAAUACACCCCACUUUCUAUGUGUGUGCCUUGUAUUCCCUUCAAGUAACCUCGGGGCCCUAUGUAACGCAAGUUGAACGCCACUCACUAAAUGCACACCGUAAAGCAAAUGAAGUAGGGCCUCUGCUGUUUCUGUGCACCCAGCACGUCAGGCCUGCAGCAUAUGCCAGCUGCCCAUGAUUUAAACGGAGACGGAGAUGUCCAUCUCCUGUGUGCUGAAUGAGCAGUGAGUGAGGAGAAAGGCAGAGCUGUGGGAGCUCUGGCUGUAAAACAUCCUCGCCAUCCUUUCUCAGGGAAGGCUACAGCCAAGCACAGUAACCAGAAAGGUCUUACUUGGUCAGGCUUACUUUCAACUGAAUGACCCUAGUAGACCUCACAUUUGAAACAAGAUUUCCCAACAUCAAAGUAACUCACAACUGGAGCAACGGCAGGGCAAACCUUUUCUACAGGCAGGAGAACUGUCUGACUAUGCCCAAGUCUUCCGUCCUGUGGCGUCCCCACAGGUACUUAUGGCUGUGCACACAGGGCUGCAAUACGCACUACCAGGGAAAGGAGGGUGCUUCUCUCUGCCCUACUUACGUCCACGCAGCUCUGCAGGAGGCAGUGAGUAGAAGGCACUGGGGAAGAAGGGAAAUAACACACCGUGGUCUGGCUUCAGCUGUUUUCCUUAAUCCAAGGAGACCUCUUACUGUCUGUGUAGAUCUUCAUUAUACAAGGAUGAUCAGUCUGUUUAGUUCUGCAGUCUGGAGACCGUCACCACCACUUCCAGUCUCUAUCUAACCUGUAGUUAUCCCUCAACUUACCAAAGCUCUGUAAUUAAUAUUAAAAUAUCAAUUUAAUUAAAGCCAGAAGAAUCUCCUGUCUUAUUUACCUAAGGUGGAGGUUCCUAGGCAGCAUUAUGGAGGUGGUAGUUUGAGCUAGGCCUGACAGGAGAGCACGGGAGGAACUUAACAAGUCCAAGGACUAUGGGGGAGGAUGUCUUCUACCCAGCUGUCCCUAUGGCCUCAGGAAAUAUCACCACCAAUUCAGCCAUUGUUGGGCACCAUGGUGUCUAGACUAUGUUUUCUAAACUGACUCUGACUCAUGUCCCUGUUGCAGACCUGACAUAGGGAAGGCAGCCUCACCCACUGGUACAGCGCAGGCAUUCUGGUGACAGGUGACCAUGGAGGAGGCUUCAGGAGCAGUUGGACCAUGAUAUGAGCCACAGCUUGAAUGCAGAAGGCAGGAGAUCACAAAGAACUUCCAGACCAAGACCCAGGAGGAAAGGGAGAGGUGUGCAGAGUGAGGAAUGCCCGGAUCAGCUCCGUACCGCUGACAGGACUAGGAGAAGCAGCUCACACAGGACCCUUCCUUCCUUUGCACACCUGUGUGUGAUCACACAUUCGCUGAGAUCCCUCCACACUGCAAGGCCCCUGGGGGAUAUGCUGUUGUCAAUGGAUCAGGAAGAAGAGCCUACCUAAUGAAGAACACUACUACUCUUUGGUUUAAUAGAAAAGUAGCUUCCAGUCAAGUACAGCUUUUCAGAAAAACUGCAAUAUAUGCUAUCACUUGUAGUACAGUUAACUAAAACAGCUAAGGAAAAGUCGUCCAUGGACCAGCACACUGGUCUUUGGAAAAGAAAUGAAUAACAAUCAUCAAGUUUCUAAGAGAGCCUCUCAAGCUGCGCAGCAUAUGGCAGGAGAAUCCCUUUGUGGAAACCUGAGAGCAAAGAGGACCUGAGAGGCCAUCACAGAAGUUGUGAAAGUAAAGCUUAGGAUGCCAUGCAGAUCCCAAGAUGACAAAGCUGUGGGGUAGCUGCCAAGGACAGCUGAAUACAGGGAGUGGAUUCCUUGGGACAGCCCAAGGGAGAGAAGUAUGCUGCAGACAGCAAAGCCGGAGAGGCUGUGCCAUCUAAGCCCUUUAAAACUAAAGUCCCUGAAACCAGACUGGGAGCUACAGGAUUUGCCAUUUUACAAGCUAAGACUCAGACUUGUUCAGUAUUUCCUCCUCAUGUCCCCAUUCCUCCCUUAGAAAUGGUAAUGUAUAUUCUCUGCCAUGAGAUGCUGGAUGUAUGCAAUUUUAUUUUUAAUAUUACAGGGGGUUACAGUAAGAAAUUGUCUUUGACUCUCAGAAGACUUUGGACCUUUAAACGAUGUUGAAACAACUAUGAAAGACUAUGGGGACUUUUGGAGUUGAACCAAAUUAAUUUUGCAUUUAUGGUAUGGCCAUGAGCUUAUGCAAAUCAAGGAUUGGAAUGUGAUGGUUUAAAUGAGAAAUAUUCUCCACAGGCUCAGACACUUGCACACUUUGUCCAUACUGGUGACAUUGCUUGGAGAACUGUAGAAGGCGUGGCCCUACUGGAAAAGAUUACGUCACUAGGGGUGGGUUUUGAAAUUUUACAGCCUUGUCUUCCCUUUGUUUCAAAUCUGUGGUUAGAGAUAUGGGCUCUCAGCCUCUUGUUCUGGCCACCACUUGUACUUGCUACCUUGCAUCCCUACCAUAAUGGAGUCACCCCUUUGAAAUGCUAAGCAACCUAAAUUCUCUAAGUUGCAUUGGUCAAGGUACUUUAUCAUAGCAACAGAAAAGCAAGUAAUAUAUUACCUUUAAAAUCGUAAUAUUCCAGGUAAAGCUCUCCACCGCCUUCUGUAGUUUCCGUUCCUUCAGUCCCUCCUUGGUGCCUAUGCUGUGCAAGUGUUCAUGAAAUUCCAUGGCUAAGAGAAAUAAAAACAGAUGAAGGUUA
rnacentral:sRNA from 1 species